GCUCAUUUUGCUUAUACUUUUCACAAGUGGGACCAUGAAUGGAAAAAAGUCAAUGGCAAAAAUUCCACAUCCUGCUGAAUCUGGGAUGAUGAACCAUGGGCAUGGAAGGAAAGUCUUUCUUUUCAAUUCCUCCAGCAAGUUGCAGCAUUUGGCACAUGGACUUUUUCCUGUGACUAUCCUUUUCCUGUCCACUAUUGAAUAUUGGAUACAAGGGCAGAGAACUCAUCUUUUAGAUCAUGGGUCACAGAGUCACAUGGAGAAGAGGGGACUGUACAUCACCUGGAAAUCCUGGACCUGGAGCUGGAUGCACUGACCUAUGGGAAUAGGAUUCCUCUCAUGGGGAAGGAGUGAGGUAUUCUACAUAUGAGAGGAUGAGUGAAGCAGAUAUGUGGUGUCCAUAAGUGGCAGAGCGUGGUAAAGAUGGACUAAAUGUUCACCAUGCUGUUUUGUCCCCUGGGCACAGAACUGAACUACAUUUCCCAGCUUCCCCUGCAGUUGAAUGCAGCCAUGUGACUGCAGCCAUGAGAGUAAGGGUAGAGGUGAUGGGCAUUACUCCUAGGUUUGGCCCAUAAAAUGAACUCCAGGAUUAUCCUCUAUUGUUCUCAUUACACCCUUCUGAUGAUGAGUGCAGCAAAUAGUAGCUGUGGACUUGAGGCCUGAGUUGAUGGAGGAGCCCCUGACAGAUGGAGCCUGCUCCUGAAUCACUGUGAAGAGGUGUGUGCCUUGAAAUGAUACCUGAUCAGGAACACCCUUGUCGGACUCUUGCUUGAGAAAGAAAGUCCUUUCUGCUGCCACUGGGGUUACCCAUUGUGGGAGAUGAAGGAUAGAAGCAGAGAGACCAGAUGGGAAGAGGCUGUAAAAUAAUCCAGGAAACAAACUCUUCCUUCCUGUCCUCUGCCUGUGGCAGAAAAUAGACAAGCGAGCAGAUGUCCAGGGAUGGCGGAGGAGUAGCCCAGGCUGCUUGGGGAGAAAACAAGCGCUCUGGAGAGCCCUGAGGGCCGGGGGCGGGAGGAGUGCGUCCUGGGUCCCGAGGCCGGCAGCCGCUCCCCUUGCUUCUUUCUCGGCCUCCAUCUCCCUUUGCCUCUUUCCAGCUCUUGCCUAUUACUGUGAGAUGCUGAACUAAAUAUGGCCAGGGGAAUCUCCAGCAGUCACAGUAUUUUUAAUCUCCCGGGGCCUCCCGUUUGCAGUCUGCUGUGACCUCCAGGAACUAGUACCAGAGGGUUUCUCGUGGGAAUCCAGGAUGCUUCCGCCAUCACAGCCAGGCCUUUGGCUCCCAGUGUUUUGGGCCCUUGUUAAAGUAGCCCUGGAGGUUUUAUUUCACAUCUUAAAUUUAGUCUUGGGAAGCAGCAGACCCUGGGAGUGCGCUGGGCGGAUCCCAGGGGCGGCUGUGGUCGCGGUACCCCUCCAGGGCGGCCACCGUGGGCCUAUGAAAACGUGCAGCCAAACUGGCUCAGCGGCUGGAGGGCAGACUGCUGGGCACCGUGACGCCAAGUGGGGGGCCUUAGCCGGGGAGGGUUCGUUCUCCCGGCGUUCUCGAAGCCCCUCACUGUGGAAGUCCCUGUUGUCGCGGCUGCAGCUGCUGCUGUCCUCGUGCAGUCUCCAGCUCUGGUCAAGAUGCUUCAUGAAUACGUGCGCCUGUCCCAUCCCUUCAGCUCUGCUGUUUUCCAGCCACUGUUAAUCUAUCUUUCUGAUCCUCUUGCUGAGGUGCUUUUCUCCACCAAAAAGAUCUUUCAAAUUAUUCUGGAAUAGAAAAUGUUUCAUUUUAUUUAAGAAAUAACCAUAUUUUCAAUAAGUUUUCAGUUUCUUCAUGAGUUAAAUUCUAUUUGAGGAUACAAUGAAAUAAGACAACACCAUAUAAGCUUACUGAGUGGGAAAAAUUAAUUUUAAAGCAAGGAUGGAAAAUGAAAGAGUGACUAUGGGUAGCGUUUCUUGAAGGGACAUGUGUAGUUAACUGUUUAGGUUCUGCAUUGCUUAACUCUAGGCAUGUCCAUUCUUACUAUGUAUUUAUCUUUACUAUGAUGAUAUCCUGCGUAUGUCUAUGAAGUGUCUUGAAGGAAAAGUGCCUUUUUCUCUUUUGCACAAAGGCCCCAAAUGGAUGAGCAGGAAUCACUGUUUUUCAGGGUAAGGAAUGAAUUUUAUCCACUCUUUUUUCCUAUUGCAUUUUACCUGUUAUAACAGCUGUGAUUUACAGAGAGAUAACUUGGUAUCAGACGCUGUUUUAGGCAGAGAUGUGCUGGUAAAGGAGCUCUUAAAACACGCACAAACAAAAAACCCUGAGCCAGCAUGAUCUGGCUCUAGCACAUCCCUGGUUGUAAGUAUUAACUAGUAUUAACUGCUUUAAGUAUUUAAAAGUGUAGUUAUUCUAUGAAGUGGUACUACUAUUAUUAUUCCCCCUCCUAAAGAUGAGAAAACUGAGGCAUGAAGAACAUACGUUACUUGCCGAUCAGAGGGGAGCCAGGCUGUGACCCCAGGCAGCCUAACUCCAAGGCCCACAUACUUAGCCCCUGUACUUUACUGCAGGAGGUAGUACAGAUGCUCGGCAAAUGAUUUCUGAAUAAGCAAAUGUUGGGUUCAAGAGAUGUGCUACUCUUACAGGUAUUGUAUCAGUCAGGGUUCUACCAGAGAAACAGACCAUUAGGAUCUGUGUCUCUCUCUAUUUAGAGAUUUAUUGCAAGGAACCGGUUUAUGCACUUGUGGGGGAUGGUGAGACAUGUCCGAAAACCACAGGGCAGGCCAUCGGGAAGGACAGACUGGAAUUCUUGGACACAAGCUAACGCUGCCAUACACAGACUGAAUUUUCUUCUUCAGGGAAGCCUCAACUGUGUUCCUAAUAUCUGUCAACUGAUUGAAUCAGGCCUACCCAAAUUAUCUAGGAUAAUCUUCCUUACUUAAUAUAAACUGAUUAGAGAUUUUAAUCAUAUCUACAAAAUCCCUUCACAGCAACACCUAGAUUACUGUUUGAUUGAUUAACUGGGGGCUAUGGCCUAGCCAAGUUGAUACGUAAAAAUGGACCAUUAAAGGUAUCUUUAAAAUAAUACUAAGUAAUAAUAAAUGCAAAUGUUGUCUAUUUCAUUGACAUUAAAUCCUCACAUCUAUCAAAAUUCUUAUGAUUUUCUUGUGGCAUUCUCAGCAGUGGGACUUCUCAAG